rnacentral:rRNA from 1 species
CGAACGGGUGAGUAACGCGUGAGCAACCUGCCUCAUACAACGGGAGUACCCGAGGGAAACUUCGGUUAAUACGGUAUAAGACCACACUACCGCAUGGUAGAGGGGUAAAAGGAGAAAUCCGGUAUGAGAUGGGCUCGCGUCGCAUUAGCUAGUUGGUGAGGUAACGGCCCACCAAGGCGACGAUGCGUAGCCGACCUGAGAGGGUGAUCGGCCACAUUGGGACUGAGAUACGGCCCAGACUCCUACGGGAGGCAGCAG